UAGAUCUCAUCCCUUGCAUAUAGC
rnacentral:siRNA from 1 species